rnacentral:tRNA from 1 species
GCCGUUGUAGCUCAGUUGGUAGAGCACGUCAUUCGUAAUGAUGGGGUCGGGGGUUCGAUUCCUCUCAGCGGCA